UACGAAGGGGGCGAGCGUUGUUCGGAAUUACUGGGCGUAAAGGGCGCGCAGGCGGCUCUUCAAGUCAGGCGUGAAAGCCCCGGGCUCAACCUGGGAGGUGCGCUUGGGACUGGGGAGCUUGAGAUCGGGAGAGGAGCGUGGAAUUCCCAGUGUAGAGGUGAAAUUCGUAGAUAUUGGGAAGAACACCGGUGGCGAAGGCGGCGCUCUGGACCGAGACUGACGCUGAGGCGCGAAAGCGUGGGGAGCAAACAGG
rnacentral:rRNA from 1 species